CACAUAUUUCCGUCCCAAAAUUCUUGUCUUAGAUUUGUCUAGAUACGGAUGUAUUUAACACUAAAACAUGACUAGAUACAUCUGUAUCUAGACAAUCUAAGACAAGAAUUUGGGACACAGGGAGUAGCAA
rfam:Triticum aestivum genome assembly, contig: Triticum_aestivum_CS42_TGACv1_scaffold_406694_5BL